rnacentral:lncRNA from 1 species
CGGUGAGCUAAAAAGCAAAACUAAAGAGCUACAAAAGCUGAAACUGGAAAAUGACGAGCUGUUUCAAUUCAAAUGUUCGCAGUAAGUUUAGUAUUAUACUCUGUGGUAGUGGACAUCUGUAUUGGCUACUUUUCUUAUUUCAAAAGUACAAUUAUUAAGGAAAUACAUUGAAUAAUCGGAUCUACUCCUAGUUAAAUGAAAUAACUACUAUUGGAUAUGUUUUGGUGAUUUAUUUGGAAUAUAUGAACAUUUCUCGUCACUUGAUUACAGUUAUAAACUAGAAUCAGUCAUUUUUAAAGUCAAGAAUACUUUUUUUCUUAUUUAAAAUUUCUUCGAAUCCAGACAGUUUUACUGUUGCUCUGUGAAAAAAACGGACAAUAUUUAAAACUAAGUGUGUUUGUUAAAUACAAUGAAAUUGUGCUUUUUUGUUGCUCAAACCAUGUAUAGUAUUCAAAAUAAGAUGGGUAGUCAUAAAUAAAACUAUUAUAUAUAUCAAAACGACUAUGUUAGUAUAUCGCUAACCUUUUUAAUAAGUACUUUCCAAAUGAUUGACUUACAUUUGUUUUAUUUCAGACCUAAUAAUUGCCGUAGAUGUGGCAAAUAUUCUACUCCAUUAUUUCCACACGCUUGCAAAGGGAGGAUCACAUAACAGAUAUUAUCAGGAACUGGAAAGGACACUCUGAAUCAAUACACAGAAUAAAAUUGAUUUACUGACUUACAAUAAGCGUGUCAUAUAAUUCGAAACCACUUUUAUUUAGGGAACUUACAUACAACAAUGGAUACAAUUUACAUCAUAUGAAAGCUCAAUAAUAUUACUUUUUGAUGUUUACAAUUUUUCAAUAGUCGUAUAUAGCAAUUUCCGUUAAAAGAACAAUAAAGGAUAAAACCUUAUUUAUGACAAAAGUGUUAAUCUGAUUAGUUAAUCCUUUUCUCAUUUGGUUUUAUAGUUUUUCUAUCUUUUUAUCUUAAA